rnacentral:rRNA from 1 species
CCUACGGGGGGCAGCAGUGAGGAAUAUUGGUCAAUGGGAGAGAUCCUGAACCAGCCAAGCCGCGUGAAGGAAGAAGGCCCUCUGGUUUGUAAACCUCUUUUGUCGGAGAACAAAACCCGGGACGAGUCCCGGACUGCGUGUAUCCGAAGAAAAAGCAUCGGCUAACUCCGUGCCAGCAGCCGCGGUAAUACGGGGGAUGCGAACGUUAUCCGGAUUUAUUGGGUUUAAGGGGGGCGUAGGCGGUCUGUUAAGUCAGCGGUAAAAUGGCGGGGCUAAACCCCGUCGAGCCGUUGAAACUGGCAGUCUUGAGUUGGCGAGAAGUACGCGGAAUGCGCGGUGUAGCGGUGAAAUGCAUAGAUAUCGCGCAGAACUCCGAUUGCGAAGGCAGCGUACCGGCGCCAGACUGACGCUGAGGCACGAAAGCGUGGGGAUCGAACAGGAUUAGAUACCCCAGUAGUC